rnacentral:rRNA from 1 species
GAUAACGCUGGCGGCGUGCAUGAGACAUGCAAGUCGAACGAAGGAUCGGGCUUGCUCGAUCCUUAGUGGCGGACGGCUGAGUAACGCGUAGGUGACCUACCCCGAAGUGGGGAAUAACUGCCCGAAAGGGUGGCUAAUACCGCAUGUGGUCGCACGUUCAUUCGUGCGAGUAAAGCCGCAAGGCGCUUCGGGCGGGGCCUGCGUCCGAUUAGCUCGUUGGUGGGGUAAUGGCUUACCAAGGCGACGAUCGGUAGGUGGUCUGAGAGGACGAUCACCCAGACUGGGACUGAGACACGGCCCAGACUCCUACGGGAGGCAGCAGCCGGGAAUUUUGCUCAAUGGGGGAAACCCUGAAGCAGCAACGCCGCGUGAGGGAUGAAGGCCUUCGGGUUGUAAACCUCUUUUGUCAGGGACGAUGAUGACGGUACCUGGCGAAUAAGCCACGGCUAACUACGUG